AAUAGGACUUUUUUCUUUGUUUUUCUUUUGUUUUUUCACUUUGCAGCCCCUGUAGUUUGAUUCAUUUGAAAAGUUUGAGAGAACGUGUUCUGAGUUAUAGAUUUCUACAUAGUGUAUUUUUUACAAAUCAAAGUUGAUUUAGAUGUAAUUGCUUUGUUGGAUUUGUUAAAUGUUUUAAUAUUUUAAUGUAUGUUAAAUUCAUAGGAACUUUUCUCAGUCACCAAAUAACCACAACUUCUAUUCAUUUAAGAAACAACUUGAGCCGGGCGGCAGUGGUGAACGCCAUUAGUCCCAGCACACAGGAGACAGAAGCAGGCAGAUCUCUGAGUUCGAGGACAGCCUGAUCUACAGAGCAUGUUCAAGGAUAGCCAGGGACACACAGGAAAAAUCCUAUCUCAAAAAAGAGAGAGAGAGAAAAAAAAAGAAAAAGAAAUAACUUGAAUUGUGAUGGCAUCUGAAUAUGAAAGAUGAGUGUCGAUUAGCAAAAGAGUGCAUUCCCAGGGCAGACAAGAAGCAUCAGUUAUGACUUCCUUUGUAAGGGUUUUAAAAGUGAAUCUUCUCCUUCUAACAAGCAUUUAGACGUGGCAUGAUCAAAUAGAGUUGGAACAGGUUAUAUUGAAGGUUUUAUAUGGCUAAUUCAAUUUCAUAGGAUUGCUCAAAUGAGUGAUGUUUGAUAUUAGCACUGUAAGGUCUGGUCAGUGAAUAUGACUUCCAGCAUUACCUGGAAGACUGACUCGGCAAUAUGUUGCUUAAAUUUGACUUGGAAGUAUACAGUAUUUUAUUGUCUGCAUUUUCAAGAAACUGCUGCUGUGAGGUUGAGAUUUAUAUAGAUGUCAAGAAUUUAAUCUUCAAUCUUAAAUGGAUAAUAUGCGAAUUCAUCCUAUGUAAAAGAAUAGUGAGCUCUUAGUACCUGCUAGUUGCAAGUCACAAAAAAAAAGUUUGGGUUUUGGUUUGGUUUUUGAGUUACAAAGGUGAGCUUAGUGCAGAGGAUGCUGGUUGUGGUGACUUGGGAAUAGGGCAGCAGCUAAAACUUGAGUAUUGGGGGAUGCUAAAAGAAUUAAUAGAAAGGAUAAGCCACAGUGCUGGGGAUAAGCAUUAGAACCUGAGUUCUAUCCCUCCCACCUGUUG
rnacentral:lncRNA from 1 species